rnacentral:rRNA from 1 species
GUCUUUAAGGUAAUAUUUAAAGUCUGGUCUGCUCACUGAAAUUUAAAGAGCCGCAGUAUUUUGACUGUGCAAAGGUAGCAUAAUCAAUAGUUUUUUAAUUGAAAACUGGAAUGAAAGAUUGAAUGAUAAAUUAACUUUCUUAAUUUUAAAAAUUGAAUUUAAAUUUUAAGUUAAAAUUCUUAAAUAUAUUUAAAAGACGAGAAGACCCUAUAGAUUUUUAUUAAUUAAAAUAGUUAAUAUAAAUAAUUAUAAAAUUAAUUUAAUUGGGGUGAUUUUGUAAUAUAAUUAACUUAAACUUAUAAAACCAUAAAUAAUUGAAUAUUUUGAUCUAAAAUUUUUAAAUAAUUGAUUAAAUUACCUUAGGGAUAACAGCGUAAUAUUAUUUAAGAGUUCAUAUCUAUAAUAAUGUUUGCGACCUCGAUGUUGAAUUAAGAAUUAUAUUGGAGUAGAAAUUAAUAAUAAUUAGUCUGUUCGACUAUUAAAUUCU